AUAGACUGCACUUCCUUUGACUUCCAGCCUUUAUGAUUUGGCCAAUGUAGUACCAACACUUGCAAAGUUCUAUCACCAGGCUUGUGAAUCAUACGAGCAAGCUUGUACACGCCAUAUCAGCAUGAUCAUUUACGUUCAAUUUGAAAAAUUAUUCCAGUUUGCUCGGAAAAUAGAAGAUUUGAUGUACAAAAUCACACCUGAGGAGACUCCUUUCCAACUGGGAUUGUCGAGAAUGGAUCUUAGGAAAAAAACUGAAAUCAAGCUUAUCUGCUGCUGACAAGUCAAUCAAUGCCAUGUAUAGGAAGUUGCAAAAGAAUUUAACGUCAGAGGAGUUGCUGCUU